rnacentral:lncRNA from 1 species
AGUGAAAACUAUACUGGUAUUUAUAGUUCGUACCAUGGGUCUGCACAUCGAGCACACAAUGAUAUAUAAAAUUUUAUUCUCCACAACAAAGUUAGGAGGCAUUUGGUAAUAUAUAAUCCUGACAUGAUUACAUGUAAUUUUACAAUAGAUAAUCAAAUUACACAGUUUAUUUCAUUACUUUCACAAGUAAUGCUGUAUUACAUGUAAUGCAGCAUUACCUCAAAAAAAGGUAAUUUGAUUAUUUAGAGAGAGAUGGC